rnacentral:rRNA from 1 species
GGACCCGCACAAGCGGUGGAACAUGUGGUUUAAUUCGAUGAUACGCGAAGAACCUUACCUGGGUUUGACAUGUUAGUGAAAGUUUUCUGAAAAGAAAUCCCUUUAAAAAGCUUGCUUUUAAACACUAUCACAGGUGAUGCAUGGCUGUCGUCAGCUCGUGUCGUGAGAUGUUAGUUAAGUCCUGCAACGAGCGCAACCCCUAUAUUUAGUUGCCAGCACAUAAUGGUGGGGACUCUAAAUAGACUGCCCGGAAUAACCGGGAGGAAGGUGGGGACGACGUCAAAUCAUCACGGCCCUUACGUCCUGGGCCACACACGUGCUACAAUGGUAGGUACAGAGGGAAGCCACCCCGCGAGGGGGAGCGGA